rnacentral:rRNA from 1 species
GUCGAACGAAAAGACGGAAAGAGCUUGCUCUUUUCAGAAUUGAGUGGCACACGGGUGAGUAACACGUAAACAACCUGCCUUCAGGAUGGGGACAACAGACGGAAACGACUGCUAAUACCGAAUAAGUUCCAAGAGCCGCAUGGCCCAUGGAAGAAAAGGUGGCCUCUACCUGUAAGCUAUCGCCUGAAGAGGGGUUUGCGUCUGAUUAGCUGGUUGGAGGGGUAACGGCCCACCAAGGCGACGAUCAGUAGCCGGUCUGAGAGGAUGAACGGCCACACUGGAACUGAGACACGGUCCAGACUCCUACGGGAGGCAGCAGUGGGGAAUCUUCCGCAAUGGGCGAAAGCCUGGCGGAGCAACGCCGCGUGAGUGAUGACGGCCUUCGGGUUGUAAAACUCUGUGAUCCGGGACGAAAAGGCAGAGUGCGAAGAACAAACUGCAUUGACGGUACCGGAAAAGCAAGCCACGGCUAACUACGUGCCAGCAGCCGCGGUAAUACGUAGGUGGCAAGCGUUGUCCGGAAUUAUUGGGCGUAAAGCGCGCGCAGGCGGCUUCCCAAGUCCCUCUUAAAAGUGCGGGGCUUAACCCCGUGAUGGGAAGGAAACUGGGAAGCUGGAGUAUCGGAGAGGAAAGUGGAAUUCCUAGUGUAGCGGUGAAAUGCGU